CCGAACUGUAACUACUAGCUGAAGAGCUGGUCUCUUGAGAUGCCAGCAUGGCACCUGCUGUCUCCUGGAAAUCCAACAAUUGUUGUAGGAAAAGGAUGGCGUUGCUGGUGAGUUCAUGAACUGUCCCAUCCUUUGGCAUGUUAUAUUCCUUGUCUGGGUCAUUCUUUAUGUUGUCAGCAAACUCUUCCAGUGCCUUUGCACCAGUUGUCUCCAUGGAAGUGAUCAGCCCUGGCAGUUUGUUCUUUGUGCCUGCUGCAGUUCCCUGCAAGACCUGGUCAAAUUCUGGCUUCAUCUGCUUGAGGUGCUUGAGGAUGGGGAAGAUGGUGAGCACAGCUGAAUAGUCGUGUCGGAUGAUGGCUUUCCGGGCUGCUGACACAAUGUUAUCGCCCUCCAUGAUCAAGUUAUCUAAUGACUCCUGGAUGAGGGAAUCAAAAGUCUUCUUCUGGUGGUGCUCUGGGACGAUUUCUGUCAGGAGCUGGUACUCACUCUGGGCCAGUUUGACAAAGGCACUCACACAGUGAAUAUACGCAUCGAUCUCGAUGUCGAACACAUCAUCCCUCCCUUCCAUAGGAAUGAGGUUAGAGGCCCCCUUUUUC
rnacentral:lncRNA from 1 species